AGUGAACGCUGGCGGUAGGCCUAACACAUGCAAGUCGAACGGCAGCACAGUAAGAGCUUGCUCUUACGGGAUGCGAGUCGUGGACGGUUGAGGAAUACAUCGGAAUCUACUUUUUCGUGGGGGACAACGUAGGGAAACUUACGCUAGUACCGCAUACGACCUACGGGUGAAAGCAGGGGAUCUUCGGACAUUGCGCGAUUGAAUGAGCCGAUGUCGGAUUAGCUAGUUGGCGGGGUAAAGGCCCACCAAGGCACCGAUCCGUAGCUGGUCUGAGAGGAUGGUCAGCCGCACUGGAACGGAGACACGGUUCAGACUCCGACGGUGGGCAGCAGUGGGGAAUUAUGGAAAAAGGUCGAAAGCCUGAUCCAGCCAUACCGCGAAAGUGAAGAAGGACUUCGGAUUUUAAAACCCUUUUGUUGAGAGAGAAGAGCAGCAGGAUAAUACCCCGCUAUUAUGACGGUACCCGAAGAAUAAGCACCGGCUAACUUCGUG
rnacentral:rRNA from 1 species